rnacentral:rRNA from 1 species
CCUACGGGAGGCUGCAGUGAGGAAUAUUGGUCAAUGGACGAGAGUCUGAACCAGCCAAGUAGCGUGAAGGAUGACUGCCCUAUGGGUUGUAAACUUCUUUUAUAUGGGAAUAAAACGUUCCACGUGUGGGAUGUUGUAUGUACCAUAUGAAUAAGGAUCGGCUAACUCCGUGCCAGCAGCCGCGGUAAUACGGAGGAUCCGAGCGUUAUCCGGAUUUAUUGGGUUUAAAGGGAGCGUAGGGGGAUUGUUAAGUCAGUUGUGAAAGUUUGCGGCUCAACCGUAAAAUUGCAGUUGAAACUGGCCGUCUUGAGUUCAGUAGAGGUGGGCGGACUUCGUGGUGUAGCGGUGAAAUGCUUAGAUAUCACGAAGAACUCCGAUUGCGAAGGCAGUUCACUGGACUGCAACUGACACUGAGGCUCGAAAGUGUGGGUAUCAAACAGGAUUAGAUACCCGAGUAGUC